AUGCAAAAGCUAGAACUCAUAGA
rnacentral:miRNA from 1 species